GCCCAUUAGCUAGCCCACCAUCCAAAACCAACAUACCCCCAUACAUACCCCCAAAUACACUUAUUUACCCCAAACAAACCAUUUUUCCCCCUUAGUAUAGGCGAUAGAAAAGGACUUAAGGAGCAACAGAGAAAGUACCGCAAGGGAAAGCUGAAAGAGAAAUGAAACAACCCAGUAAAGCACAAAAAAGCAGAGAUACCCCCUC
rnacentral:rRNA from 1 species